rnacentral:rRNA from 1 species
AUUGAACGCUGGCGGUAUGCUUAACACAUGCAAGUCGAACGGUAACAGGAGAGAGCUUGCUCUUUUGCUGACGAGUGGCGGACGGGUGAGUAAUGCGUAGGAAUCUGCCUAGUAGUGGGGGACAACGUGUGGAAACGCACGCUAAUACCGCAUACGCCCUACGGGGGAAAGCGGGGGAUCUUCGGACCUCGCGCUAUUAGAUGAGCCUACGUUAGAUUAGCUAGUUGGUGGGGUAAAGGCCUACCAAGGCGACGAUCUAUAGCUGGUCUGAGAGGAUGAUCAGCCACACUGGGACUGAGACACGGCCCAGACUCCUACGGGAGGCAGCAGUGGGGAAUAUUGGACAAUGGGCGAAAGCCUGAUCCAGCAAUACCGCGUGUGUGAAGAAGGCCUGAGGGUUGUAAAGCACUUUCAAUUGUGAAGAAAUAUUUAAGGUUAAUAACCUUAAAUUUUAGUACGUUAACUUUAGUAAGAAGCACCGGCUAACUCCGUGCC